AACGAACGCUGGCGGCAUGCCUAACACAUGCAAGUCGAACGAGACCUUCGGGUCUGGUGGCGCACGGGUGCGUAACGCGUGGGAACCUGCCCUUAGGUUCGGAAUAACUCCCCGAAAGGGGUGCUAAUACCGGAUAAUGUCUUCGGACCAAAGAUUUAUCGCCUUUGGGUGGGCCCGCGUUGGAUUAGCUUGUUGGUAGGGUAAAAGCCUACCAAGGCGACGAUCCAUAGCUGGUCUGAGAGGAUGAUCAGCCACACUGGGACUGAGAAACGGUCCAGACUACUACGGGAGGCAGCAGUGGGGAAUAUUGGACAAUGGGCGAAAGCCUGAUCCAGCAAUGCCGGGUGAGUGAUGAAGGCCUUAGGGUUGUAAAGCUCGUUUACCCGGGAUGAUAAUGACAGUACCGGGAGAAUAAGCACCGGCUAACUCCGUG
rnacentral:rRNA from 1 species